CUUCCCCUGAUUCCCCAUUGGCCCGCGCGUGCAGUUUGAAUUUUUUUUUUGUUGUUUUGUUUUUGGUUGCUUGUUUUCUUGUUAAAAAAAAAAAAAAAAAACAGUACCGUAGAUCAUGUGAUGAGACUUACUUGGGCAGCCUGAGGUAGGGUGCUUUAGCUGGUUUGGUUGAAGGCGGUAGGGAGCAGGAUGGGCGGAGCUUUCUGUUCCAAAAGUUACACCCCCCCACCCCCCCGCCCCGCAAGUGCCGUUGACAGAGUGCAGGCGGGAAGCUUCGGCUGGGGUAGAGAUGUAGCAUCAAACAUUCAUGGAUGUCCAGGGAGCGCGGGCCCAUAGGAUGCUGGCCAGAGGUACUAGGAAGGCGCAGGAGCCGGACGAGGAUGCAUCUUCUUUCCCUGCCUUGGAAAGGGGCUGUUCACAAUGUAUGCUGGACCAUGGUGAGUCCUGAGGUGGUCACAACAGAAGCUUGCCUUGGGCCCAUCUGUCUCCUGCUGCUGUCCACAAGAUGGAGAAGGCGGAAGCAACCUGAGGAGGCCUCUUUGUCUGUAAGGAUAGAAGGUCCAUUGUGGAGGGGAGAGAUACAGGAGCUAUAUAGGCGAGGCUCUACCAGCCCUGCAUCUCUUAUCUCCAGAAUUCUUUUACAGAAAAGAAAAAUAAACUUUUAUCUGGUUUACGCCACCACUGUUUCUGGCCUCUGUUACUAGCUGCCAAAUGGAAAUCUUAACUGAUAGAGAAGUCCUUGAGAGACUUGAACGUGGGACGGGAUUCUGCCCAUUUGGUGGCUCUGCAGGGGUGGAUUUGGGGGAGUGGAGCAUCCUGGAGGGCACAUGGAGGUAAAGAUGGCUUGGCAGGUGGGGCAGACAGUGAGAAAACACCUCUCAAGGGUCACUGAUUUUCUUUUCCCCCAGGACACCUCUGCUGAAGUACUGUUAUACAGUGGCUAUUUAAACAUCUAUUGAUGGAGUAAUUUGAAGUCUGCUAUUGUCAGCUCUCCUCAAAGCUGGGCCAUUGAGUAGAUGGGUGCUCUUUGUGCCCAAAGAAACAGCAGCAGGUGAAGGGAUGGAGCAGGAAAUGGUAUCCGCAUCAUAGGAAAGUCAAGCCAACUCCCUGGAGGCAGCUCCAGGGAAAGCAAGUUUUGUUACAUGUGAUUGUCUAAGAAGAUACAUUCGAAGUCUAAAGAAGAUUGCUUUUAACUGGGUAGCAAUGGUAAAUAAUAUCCAAAACGUAUACCCUGCUGUAACUUACAAAGAGAAUUCUUGUGCUGUGGGUUUUACUAGCUUUGAGGCACACAUAAUCACACUGAGAAUGGCUGUCUCUUCAUAAUGAACUCACCAUUCAUUGUGAGGCGAGGAAGGACGUUUUACGUUGGAUAUUUACUGUUUACGUGGACUAUAAAAAUAUGACCACGCUCUGGUUCUAGCUCAUUCUCUGAACCUAGCACUCGGGAGGCUGAGUUUGGAAGAUGGCUAUGAGUUUAAGGUCAGCAUGGGUGACAUCGUGAGCUCCAGGGCAGCCUGGACCAUAGUGUUAGACCCUCCUCUCAAAAGACACACACACAAAAAAGAAAAAAAUUCAGUUCCAGGGCACAAGUAGUAAAGCAACACAGAGGUUGGCUUGGCCCUGUGUAAUUUUACCAUUUUUUUCUGCUGUGUCCUAACCAGUAAGAAACCUAAAUCUAGGGCCAGCAAGUUGGCUCAUCAGGCUAAAAUGGUUCCACUCAAGCUUGACAACCUGAGUUUGAUCCCCAGAACUGACUCCUGAGGAUUAUCUCUGCCUUCCUCACUGGUACCUUGGCACCCACAUGUCUGGAUGUACACACAUCUCUCUCUCUCUCUCUCUCUCUCUCUCUCUCUCUCUCUCUCUCUCCUCUCUCUCUCUCUCUCUCUCAUGCAAGCACUCACAGAUGCACACCACCACUACCAACUACUACUAUUACUACUACUCCUGCUAAUAAUAAAUUAAAAAAUAAAUCUCA
rnacentral:lncRNA from 1 species